rnacentral:rRNA from 2 species
AGAAUUCGCCCUUANAGUUUGAUCAUGGCUCAGGACGAACGCUGGCGGCNUGCUUUAUACAUACAAGUCGAACGAAGCAAUUUGUGUUUACAUGAAUUGACUUAGUGGCGGACGGGUGAGUAACGCGUGAACAACCUGCCUUACNGAGGGGGAGAACAUUGGGAAACUGAUGCUAAUACCGCAUGAUAUCAUAAUAUCGCAUGGUAAUAUGAUCAAAGAUUUAUCGCUGUANGAGGGGUUCGCGUAUCAUUAGCUAGUUGGUCGGGUAAAGGCCUACCAAGGCGACGAUGAUUAGCCGGCCUGAGAGGGUGAACGGUCACACCGGAACUGAGACACGGUCCANACUCCUACGGGAGGCAGCAGUAGGGAAUAUUGGGCAAUGGGGGAAACCCUGACCCAGCAACGCCGCGUGAGGGAAGAAGGUUUUCGGAUUGUAAACCUCUGUCCUAUGGG